ACAAUGCUGCAAUCAAACUUGCAAAUCCAGAAAAAGAAGAAAUAAAAAAAAUAUCCACCGUUUCACCAUCAAUUAAUCCCUCUCGACCUGCUUGGAUUAAGGGCAAAAUCAGCAUUAACCUUGACAACAACAGCACUUGGUAUAUAGGAUGUAGCCAUUGUUUAAAAAAGGUUUAUGCACAAAGUGACCAGCAAUUUAACUGUAUGCAUUGUGGUGAAAAGAGAGCGGUGGGUACUCCAAGGUGCAAAUUGGAUGUGGAAAUUGUUGAUGAAACUGGGCACAUUGCGGCGUCAGU